GAUGAACGCUAGCGGCAGGCUUAAUACAUGCAAGUCGAGGGGUAGCAAGAUUGUAGCAAUACAAUUGUUGAUGACCGGCAAACGGGUGCGGAACACGUACACAACCUUCCUACAAAUGGGGAAUGGCCCAGAGAAAUUUGGAUUAAUACCCCGUAACAUAGCGAUGUGGCAUCACAUUGCUAUUAUAGCUUCGGCGCUUGUUGAUGGGUGUGCGGCUGAUUAGAUAGUUGGCGGGGUAACGGCCCACCAAGUCUACGAUCAGUAGCUGAUGUGAGAGCAUGAUCAGCCACACGGGCACUGAGACACGGGCCCGACUCCUACGGGAGGCAGCAGUAAGGAAUAUUGGACGAUGGACGCAAGUCUGAUCCAGCCAUGCCGCGUGAAGGAUUAAGGUCCUCUGGAUUGUAAACUUCUUUUAUAAGGGACGAAAAAAGGUCUUUCUAGAUCGUCUGACGGUACCUUAUGAAUAAGCACCGGCUAACUCCGUGCCAGCAGCCGCCGUAAGAC
rnacentral:rRNA from 1 species